AUUUAUUAGUAUAAUGCGGCAAAAUUAUAUCAUAUAAGUUAACCGCACGGAGCUGGAGUCUGAAGUCUUGUUUUGUGUUCCACUGUUUCAAUAUUAGUAUUACUUAAUUGGCAGUUUAUAAAUUAAGUUUUUUGUAUUUUUGAAGGUACUAAAGAAUUAAUAUAAAAGCCUGAUUUUAUCUUGACAGGUUGUUCAUAAUUGUCAAGAACAACAUGGUUUGAACUGGUUAUCACCAGAAUUAGCGUCUUCACUAUGUGCAAUAUUUCAUCGUCAACAGAAUGCUGCAAGUUAUUUUGAAGAGAUCAAGAGACUCCAAGUCGGAUUUGCGAAUCACUGCAACGAGCUCAUUUACAGGAGUACUUCACUUCACUCUAUUGAAAUUUGGGAUGAAGACAAUUUGAUUGCUGGAGAAUUCGGAUUUGCUAUUGGAGGAUGUUAUCAAUCGGCCUCUGGCUUUUCUAACAAAGCUUACAAUGGAGCUGGAACUAUUCAAUGUGUCACUCUUGGAAUCAUUUUAAAGGAAAACGGAUUUGACUUUUGGGAUUUAGGAAUGAAUUUGGAGUACAAACGCCGACUGGGUGCGCAUGUAAUCCGAAGAGAAGAUUUUUUGACAUUGUUGUGUAAUACGAGAGACAGAGAAGACCUACCAGAGAUGAACCAAAUACUCAAUAAUAAUGUUUUCUGUAUUGAUAUAGUAAAAAGGC